GUCAGUAUAGUUCGUUCGUCAAUGGAGGACGUCGUUCGCGCCUUUUUCAUUCGCCACGCGUCGAUCGAUGCAGGAGACCCACACUGGAUAAUAAAAUUGUCGUCCAUUUCAAAAUCUUGAGCAGGGCGUCUUUGAGCUGGACGGCCGUCCGCACUUCCCGUUUCAUGGCGUUCAGGUGACGCUGGAGCGUUGGCCAGGUGGGCAAGUCGCACGGAAGGAGCACCAGCGCCAUCUCCAAGUCGAUCCUUUCACCGCUUCAAGCGCUCACCCAAUAUCAUCCGCCUCAACAACAACAACGGCCAACAACUCGACGGACGCAAUUUGUUUUUUGGGUGUCCACCGCCCAGCAAUCUGGGCCAGCCAAAGUUCGUUUAGUACAAACGGACGAGAUCAAAACACGGCGAAUCACAGGCUCACAUCAUUUCGCACUAAUGUAACUGUGGAGACGGACAUUUCGACUGCGGAAAUUCAAACUGGAAACUGGUUUGUUGUGUAGCCUUGCAGUGUGUCCGGUCAGUGACUGGCUGCGCUGUGUGCAAAGGAGGUAGAAGAAACGGACCGAUGCUGGCCGACACAACUGACGAUGGUGUCCGACACGAGCCGUCUGCCUUCUGCCCGUUUGUUGCGGGACCUCCCUCUCUCUCUUUUGGCUGUUCUGUGCAGUGCAUACGUGCUUAUACCCAUAGAGCUCCUGCCCAGCUUCUCUGUCUCCUUCUCCUUCCUUCCUUCUCUCUCUGUUCCUUCUUAGCCGAAACGACUUAUUUUUAUAAAUAGAUCCCGGGAGAGCCAACCGACGAAGAAGAAGUAGAAGGGAGGUCGUUCGUCUAAAGGACUCACGCUCUUACUCUCUUUUCUGAUUCUUUUCGUUUAUUCUCUCUCUCUUUGAUUUCUUUUCCUUCUUCUUCUUCUUCUUCUUGUGUUUUCUUAGCGUCGUUCGUUUCUGAGCUGGGCGGCCUCGGCACUGCUGCUGCCCGGCUCCCGUCCAGCAGCACAAGCAACAGCAGCGCAUUCUUCAAUUUUCUUGUUGUGUCUCUCGGGCCAAUUAAACCUCCCUGGUUAUGCCGGGGGUUUUUAAAAGGACCCCCCUUUUUGUCUUUUGACUUGUACGGGUGGAGAUGGGGAGGGGGGGGGGGGUCGUGUAUAGUCACGGGCAACUGUGUUUUUACCAAUUUUUUUGCCCGGCCAGCAGCAGCAGCAGCAGCCGGCGGAGAAUGGCGCCAACAUCGUCACCUCGUUGUCGCCAAGGAUAUCAAAACGUCCGGACUAUUUUAUUUUUAUUUUAUUUUAUUUUAUUUUUCUUCUGGUUGGCGAAACGGGGAAUUUUGUGUUUCGCCCAGCACCAGCACAUCCUUGUUAUUUUCUCGUUUUACAGUUGUGUGUGUGUCGCUUGUCGCCGUGAUCGUUUCAAUUGUAAACGUCGCGGACGGCCGCCGUUUUUCGUGACGGAUAACACACAAAAUCACGGCCAUAGAAAGAAAGAAAGAAAGAAAAAACAAGAGUUUCCAGUGUUUUGCCCGUCUCGUCUUUCUCCAUCUGUUUUUAGACGGACGUGUAUACACCACACACACACACACACACACGGGUAACAGUAGAUGACACUGGGGCUGAGCCGGUGACAGCAACAAAACAACUUUAAAUAGAUUAACCGGCCCCAAACCGAAAAAAAGAAAAGAAAACUCUUGUCGCCUAGACUAUCCCCAAACCUAUAAAAAUAAAGGGGCCUAUGAAUAAACUAGAAUUCUAAAUUUAUUUUAAUUACAGGGGCCGGAGUGUACGGUGCGUUCAAAAAAUUCUCCUCUCCGUUUUUCACCGGGUUAUUGGUUUUUAAAUAUUAUUACGGCGGGAGAAAAUGUUGACUAUCCUGGCGGGGAAAAGUCAAAAUGUUUAAAUUCUAAAUAAGAUGUGGCAGGUGUCAGGGCUCUGUCAUAAUUCAUGUUCCACCAGCUUCCAGACAUCCGCCAGUUUUUAUUUUAUUUUAUUUUUUACUUUUUUUCGGGACUUGUCAAAACGGACGGCGAGACUCCCAUCACGGACAUGUGUCUGAAAAAGUAGAAAACCGAUCCCGUCCCUUUUUGGUUUUCAUUUAAAAAAAAAUUGACUGUAAAAUCUUGAAAAAGUUAACGUUACACGUCAAAAUAAAAAACAAGAUAGCGCGCCGAAACUUUUGAAAUUUCUCCCGGAAAAAAUAAAUCAAAAAGGUGGAACUUAGUAUAUUAUCGUCGUGACUUGGCUGGGCCGAAAUGGCUUUCACGUGCGCCCGCUGAUUUGUUUUUCAUUCAAUGAUUGAGAUUUUCAAACGUGUUUUGAUCGGCUGUGUGACGCCUCGAUCGAAGCCGAAACGCAAUCAACUAUUUUGGCCCUUUAUUUUUCCCGCGUUCAUAUUUCGUCACGCCAUGACGACAGAUUGGAGAAUAUUUAAAAAUGAAAAAUCAACCACGUAGCCUUAGUCAUGAUUACAGUAACUCAUUUUUAGUGCGACACUCGAUGGUCGAGCAGUUGCGCAAUAAAGUCGUCGUCAUAAUGAUCGUUCAUUUAAUAUCUAAGAUGAUGGUGUUAUUUUCAAUGUAACGGGGCGUUUUUGUAAUUGGUAACACGCAAAGAGGGCGGAACGCGUCGUCUUGGAAAAGUGGAAUGAUUACAUUCGAUGUAAUUAAAGGAAAUUGGAUUUCACAAAAAAAACUCAAAUUAAACUAAGCGCCGGGAUCCUCCCUUUGUUUCUCAUUGGCACCGUCAAAAGUCACGAACUUACUCGAACGAAGAGUCGUUUCAAACCAUUUUCGAACUCAGCUGCAAGUUUUAAAAAUUUAAAACAUUUUUUAAAAAAUCCGGGUCAUAUUUUUUGACGGUUUUUAUUUUUUUUCAAACAGCCGUUCGGUACGCAACAUUGGCGUCGGUUUUUCUUUGAGUGGAAGGGAGUUUUCGCAUGCGACGCGGGACUUCCCACGACGUCUCCUCCUCCCAGUAUAGAUCCACCACCUUCUAUCUAUCCAAGUAUAAGCGGGUGAAAGAAGGGUGGUAUAUCUACCGUACACAACAUCCGUCAUGGGAGGAAAUGACAUUGAAUCUCUGGCGCCCGCCAGCGAUAUCAUCUUGCAGCAGAGCCUUUGACGUGUCGUCCCAAAAAUAAACGACACCUCACGCCCAAUCUCUUGCUCUUGCAGUUGCCAUUGCAGUUGCCAUUGCACCAAAAUCCCAAUCCAAGCUAAAAUGAAAAUGUCCGGAUUCCCUCUACCGGGUGGGAUAAUUGAAUCGUGUCGAUUGCGUCUUGUUUUUUUUCCCUUUCUAAAAAUUGCGUUGCCCAUAGCAACGACACACAGCUUAAAAUAAUAAUAAUACCAAAAAGUUGGGGUUUGAGAUAUGGGCGAGUUGUUAGUUCGUCUCGCCAAGAUGGUGCCAAUAAAAAUCGAGGCAUAGACAUACACGACCCUUUUCCCUAUCAAUCACGUAGUCAAGAAUAUUCGCCGUAAAGCGGGGGGUGGUGGUUGGGGGGGGGGGCCUUGUAUAUAAAUAUAGCCAAAGGUAUUUAUAAAUAUGUGACAUACCAAGACGGUCUGGAAUGUUUUUUUUUUCCCUUCGACCGAUUCCGUGGUGGCAUUGAAUUCAAUGUCAAUCGGUUGGUGCGCCAUCGCUGCUUGCCGCUGUGGUUUUGUGGCCGUCUCGCAGGAGAAUUUUCGGUUCUAUUAUCAUCUCUCGUUAUCUUUUAGCUGUUUUAUUUUAUUUUAUUUUAUUUAUUUUUUAAAUUAGAAAUAAUGAAGUGGAAUGAAACGAAGAUUGGGGAUGUUUGGUUUUUUUUUGGGUCCGGCGGUUGUACCCCGCACGACUUGUACAAUUAUGUAUUAUGGAAUGAUCUCUUCCGCAUCGUCAAAUCUCUUGAUACAAAUCCAAAUAAUGAGAUAGAAAAAGGUAUAGAAGAAUGUAAGAUGUAGAGAGAGAGAGAGAGAGAUGAGAGCCUUUCAAAAGAAAAUUUCAUAAAUGGGCGGUGAGGAAAUGGGGUGGUUAACUCUCAUUUUUUUAAAUAUAUAUGUUAAGGUUGUGUACAAAUUCAGUUGGUCUCCUCCCUUGCCCGUCGUCUGUCUGUGUAGUAGGUGUGUAGUGUAGUGUGUAGUGUGUAAGUAUGUAAAUG